UCUGAGUGAGAACCAGCACGAAGCAGGCGAUGAAGAGGCAGCCGUAGAAGUUGGAGCAGAACCCGAUGCUGAUGACGAUGGCGAAAGGGAUGGCCAGGACGCCCACUGCGAUGUCAGCCACCGCUAGCGACACCACGAAGAAGUUGGUGAUGGUCUGCAGGUUGCUGUUGAGGCACACGGCCCAGCAGACCAGCACAUUGCCCAGCACGGAGAACCCGGCGAUCAGCAGUUCCAGGAUGAUGUAAAAGCCGGAGGCGACAGGGUCUUUCGGCAUGGUCCGUCCUCUCACUGUAGUUUCCCACGGACCUCUCUGAGAUGAUGCCAGUAACCCAACUGGAACCUUAUGUCUCCACAGAUAGAGAGGGUCUGACUUCACUGGAACGAUGCGAUAUGAAAUUAUGUGAAAAUACGGGAAUAUCAUGCAGGAUAGGACAAAUGGAUGGAUGGACGGACAGA